UUACGAUCACAUCACGUUAAAAAAACCGGUUCCCUUAUGAUCACCGGCGUUAAACAACGUCGGGCCUGUUCUGCACCUAUAUAGGUGACUGUCUGGGAAUACCAGGUGCUGUAA